rnacentral:rRNA from 1 species
AUGCAGCAGUGCUACACAGACACACAGACACACGUACGCAUGUUACGUUCGAGCGGCAUGAAGGGAGGACGGCGAUCCAACAGGAGGCUCCUCAGGUCCUUCCUGGCCGCGUGCAGGAAGCUCAGCGCCGAGCUGCAGCUGCUCGGCGCCGCCGCCCCGACGGCGAGCGCGUGGGUGCAACUCGAGGCCGGCGGCGGCGGCGACGAGACCAUCCCGGUGGACGUGCCGAGGGGCCACACGGUGGUGUACGUCGGGGAGGAGCUGCGGCGGUAUGUCGUCCGGGUGUCCUCCCUCGACCACCCGCUGUUCCGGGAGCUGCUCGACCGCGCGCGGGAGGAGUACGAGUUCGCCGCCGACGCCAGGCUGUGCCUGCCCUGCGACGAGGAAAUCUUCCUCGCCGUGCUCUGCCACGUCGACUCCAAGCACGACUACUGGAGGCUAGCGCUCUGCAGCUGA